UACAGAGGUCUCAAGCGUUGUUCGGAUUCAUUGGGCGUAAAGGGUGCGUAGGCGGCGCGGUAAGUCGGGUGUGAAAUCUCGGGGCUUAACUCCGAAACUGCAUUCGAUACUGCCGUGCUUGAGGACUGGAGAGGAGACUGGAAUUUACGGUGUAGCGGUGAAAUGCGUAGAUAUCAGGAGGAACACCGGUGGCGAAGGCGGGUCUCUGGGCCGAUAUUGACGCUGAGGAGCGAAAGCGUGGGGAGCGAACAGG
rnacentral:rRNA from 1 species